rnacentral:rRNA from 1 species
UCCAGACUCCUACGGGAGGCAGCAGUGGGGAAUAUUGCACAAUGGGGGAAACCCUGAUGCAGCGACGCCGCGUGAGUGAAGAAGUAUUUCGGUAUGUAAAGCUCUAUCAGCAGGAACGAGACAAGACGGUACCUGACUAAGAAGCCCUGGCUAACUACGUGCCAGCAGCCGCGGUAAUACGUAGGGGGCAAGCGUUAUCCGGAUUUACUGGGUGUAAAGGGAGCGUAGACGGUCCUGCAAGCCAGAUGUGAAAGCCCGGGGCUCAACCCCGGGACUGCAUUUGGAACUGUAAGGCUAGAGUGUCGGAGAGGCAGGCGGAAUUCCUAGUGUAGCGGUGAAAUGCGUAGAUAUUAGGAGGAACACCAGUGGCGAAGGCGGCCUGCUGGACGAUGACUGACGUUGAGGCUCGAAAGCGUGGGGAGCAAACAGGAUUAGAUACCCGGGUAAA